rnacentral:tRNA from 1 species
GCCUUCGUGGUGUAGUGAUCAGCACGCUCGACGCAUAACCGAGAGGUCCGUGGUUCGAUUCCCGGCGAAGGCG